rnacentral:rRNA from 1 species
GUGUCAGCCGCCGCGGUAAUACGGAGGGUGCAAGCGUUAUCCGGAUUUACUGGGUUUAAAGGGUGCGUAGGCGGCUCUUUAAGUCAGUGGUGAAAGCCUAGUGCUCAACACUAGAAUUGCCAUUGAAACUGAAGAGCUCGAGUCAAGGAGAGGUAGGCAGAAUUUAUGGUGUAGCAGUGAAAUGCUUAGAUACCAUAAGGAAUACCGACAGCGAAGGCAGCUUACUGGCCUUGCACUGACGCUGAGGCACGAAAGCGUGGGGAGCAAACAGGAUUAGAGACCCUGGUAGUCCACGCUGUAAACGAUGAUCACUCGAUGUACAUGCUUGUCAUGUGUGUCUGAGCGAAAGCAUUAAGUGAUCCACCUGGGGAGUACGCCCGCAAGAGUGAA